UCAGUUCGGAUUGCAGGCUGCAACUCGCCUGCAUGAAGCUGGAAUUGCUAGUAAUCGCGGAUCAGCAUGCCGCGGUGAAUACGUUCCCGGGCCUUGUACACACCGCCCGUCACACCAUGAGAGUCGGGAACACCCGAAGUCCGUAGUCUAACCGCAAGGAGGGCGCGGCCGAAGGUGGGUCCGGUAAUUGGGGUGAAGUCGUAACAAGGUAGC
rnacentral:rRNA from 1 species